GACGAACGCUGGCGGCGUGCCUAAUACAUGCAAGUAGGACGCAGUUGCGAACGGGUGAGUAACGCGUAGGUAACUGGCUAUUAGAGGGGGAUAACUAUUGGAACCGAUAGCUAAUACCGCAUACUAGUAGAUGGACCUGCGUUGUAUUAGCUAGUAGGUAGGGUAAUGGCCUACCUAGGCGACGGUACAUAGCCGACCUUGGGAGGUGAUCGGCCACACUGGGACUGGUGAACGGGCCAGACUCCGUCUGGGAGCAGCAGUAGGGGAUUUUUGGCAAAGGGGGGAACCCUGGCCGAGCAACGCAGCGUGAGUGGAGGAAGUUUUCGGGUCGUAAAAGUCUUUUGUUAAGGGAGCGGUACUUAACCAAGAAGGGACGGCUAACUACGUGCCAGCAGCCGCGGUAAUUC
rnacentral:rRNA from 1 species